AAACCAGCACCUCAAGUGGUCAGGAUGAUUAUUGGGCCUAAAGCAUCCGUAGCCGGCUCUGUAAGUUUUCGGUUAAAUCUGUACGCUUAACGUACAGGCUGCCGGGAAUACUGCAGAGCUAGGGAGUGUGAGAGGUAGACGGUACUCGGGAGGAAGGGGUAAAAUCCUUUGAUCUCUCGAUGACCACCUGUGGCGAAGGCGGUCUACCAGAACACGUCCGACGGUAAGGGAUGAAAGCUGGGGGAGCAAACCAGAUAGAAACCCCAGUAGUCC
rnacentral:rRNA from 1 species